AUACGGAGGGAGCAAGCGUUGUUCGGAAUCACUGGGCGUAAAGCGAGUGUAGGUUGUCAGGUAAGUAGGAUGUGAAAGCCCGGGGCUCAACCCCGGAAUUGCAUUCUAAACUGCCUGGCUAGAGUCCCGGAGAGGGAGGUGGAAUUCCGAGUGUAGAGGUGAAAUUCGUAGAUAUUCGGAGGAACACCAGAGGCGAAGGCGACCUCCUGGACGGUGACUGACACUGAGACUCGAGAGCGUGGGUAGCAAACAGGAUUAGAAACCCGAGUAGUCC
rnacentral:rRNA from 1 species